GAGAGCCGGAGGGGCUGGCGGCGGGAAUCUGCUGCCCUCAGCUAAACGUGACGGCGUUUUUUGGGUUGUGCUGCUAAAAACGAGUUAAUGUGAGGUCACAGCAAACUUCCCCGUUCCCGCUGCCACCAUCUCAGCUUCUUCGGGGAUGCUCCAGCAAAAAGAAGAAGAAAAAAAAGAGUUUCCAUUUUCUCUUCACCGCGUCUAUUUCUCCUCAAGUGUCCAUUUCUGUUCUCUCUGUCACCUGCCCCGGAUCCCUCAGGUUGCGCCACAUCCCGGGCAGGUCUACGCGAUUACCUCGCACUGUUCUCCCUGGCCAAAGAGGGACACGCAGGUUGUGUCACCAGCUUUGGUGUUGAGGAGACCUUGGAGGGGAAAUUACCCCUCACCGGUAGGAAUCUGUGACCUGUGAGACCAGCUGGCACUCCCCACGAAGAAGAACAUAAAAGCUGGUGGUGGCACCGCCAAGAAGCGAGCGCUGGGCAAUGGUGCCCUGUCGUGCCCCAGGAGUUGUUGGUGACUGUUGACAAACAAGUUCUAUGGAUCUAAGGAUCUGUCCCAUAGAGAAAAGUACAACUGCAGGAAUUAGACCUUUGCAAGAAGAUAUCUGGAUAUCUGCCUCAGUUCUCCUUGGAGACCUUCAUGUGACUUUGCUAUGGUCUGGCAAGUUGAAAUCAUCAGCUUCUUUCACGAAUCCAUUUGCUGCCACUCUUGAAAGUUACCUGGAGCAGAGAUGAUGAAAAUCAUAAUGAAGAAGAGGACAUCUGCUUUCAAAUGCUUCGACGACUUUACAUGUCAUAGCCCUUUGCCACUAGAGGACAGCAAGAUCUCAGGAAAAGGACAUUGUGUGAGGAGGUGAGAGAAAAGGAGAGAAAUUGCUUACACAAGAGUUUAGAAAGCCUUAGUUCAGAAGUUAUAUUCUUCUAGGUAUAAUCAAUUUUCUUAAAGGUUGGGUCAGUUUUGGAAGAUAUUUAAAGAGAAAAUAUGGAGGAGGCAGACAAAUAAAAGCUGAAGUUUUAAUGUAGUGCUUUGUCUAUCAGUUAUAGAUGAUGUUAUUUGAAAAGUACAGUACUAAUUAGCUUUGAGAACUGUAUGCUGUUUCCAUUUAAUUCAUAUAUAGUUUUGUAUUGAUUUCAGCCAU